UGUAUGUAUGUAUAUAUAUGUAUAUGUGUGUGUGUGUGUGUGUGUGUUCAUGCCAAUUUCUAUAUCAGUAAAACUCUUCAGUGCUGUCUUUGUAGAUAUAAAAAUACUGCAGACACUUUAUUACACUCAACUGUACUGCAUUAAAGUGAUUGAAGAAAUAUUCAGAUACUUACAGUAAAAAUAAGAAUACUAGAGUAAUAAAAAGCACUUCAGUAAAAAUGAACAAGAAUGAGGUAAAAUGUACUUGAAGUAUUAAAAGUGCUCGCUCUGCAAGAAAUGAGCCCUUGUGACAAAUAUUUGCAAUCAAAUUACUGCAAUCUGAUUCUAACCUGUGGGAGGCAGCAGAGUCCCGCGAGACAUCUGCUCUGCCGGAAAUUGAUAAAUAGAGGAAGAUGAAAUCCGCCAUGUUUGCUCUGUUCGCUUCAAAUGACAUGUAGAGAAAAGUUUGUAGCUUGUAGACAACUUGGUUAUAUCUCGAUGUUAACAGCAAGAAAGGAAAUAUUUUCCUCUCAGAUAGUCACUAUGGGAUUGUCUGUGAAGAUACUUGAGGUGACACGCAGCAGCUCUCUGGACUUUAUCAACAAACUUUCUCCACUCACCUGGUCUGUGCUGAACUUCAGAGAAUUACAAACAUCAACCUGAAGAAUCACUCCUAUGUCAUGUUGGACUGACAUGCUCCCCCCUCCAACCCAGUCUUCAGAGCUUGUUCAAGAAGAGAGCUGCACAGGGAGAGUGUUGAAGGUCCAGGUUAGCACUUCAGGAUUUAUGACCUCCAGGGCAGUUGGUUACACUUUGAGGACGAUGUUACAGUGAGGACGACUCCAGCCUUCUGAAAACCUUGGUGCAGCCCAUCCAGCUGACCUUCCUUGAUGUUUCUGUGGCGGUGGUGAAUUUAGGGGUUGCACUGGGAAACAUCCAGACACACACACACACUUGUCUUCAGACCGACAGCAGGAACUGUUCCUGCUCGGGCGGUUUCUUCACCCAGGUACCGAGGCCUGUUUCCUGCAGAGAUCUGAACCACUGCUGCUUCACUGUCUGAUUUCAUUCACUCCCCCAGUGAGUGUGUGCUCUCACCUUGCGGUAAAGUCUGCUCCAGCGGGUGAACAGGGCGUGCUUGCAGAGACGCGAGGGUGUCCCUGAGUCCCGUCUCCGUCCUGUGGCGGUGUUGACCACCUCCAACUGUGUGUCGCCCAGCGACCAGUUGACGCUCACACACGAGGCCUUCCCUGUCUGCUGGUACUCGGCACUGCUCAGCCCUGCAGGAGGAGAGAGUGACUCAAAGUGGGCUGUUUAACCUCCACAGGCUAAAGGCAGACAUAAAGUUUUGCAGCGCUGCAAAAAGCCAAGUCAACCUGGGCCUGAAACUGCAUGGCUGUUUAUAUGAAGCUUUGAUACACCCUCAGAGAGAGGGGGGAGGUGGGAACAGGCGGGCGGUUGAGCUCAUAAGCAAAGUGUUCCUGCCUUUGUGUGAGUACUAGUCUGCUCCUGGGUCGCUGCAGUUAACAGUGUCUGAGUGUUGCCAGCGAUGUACGCUGUAAAUAUUAUCUCCAAACACAAAGAUCAACCCUCCUCCACACUGGACUGUCUCUGUCCCGCCCUCUCCACCACUCUCUGAAAUCAUUAUCCUCACUGGCAAAGCACACACAGCCGUCAGUGGAGGGAAGAGAGGGAGAGAGGUAGUGGAGGUGAGGGGUGGUCGCGUUGGGCUACAUGUGGAGAAUUAGCUGUCUGUGUGGAGAACAUGAGUGUUGGCAGAGGUUCAGAGCCUGUGGAUGAAAUGCAGCUGACAGCAGGGUGAAACACGAAUGAAGGCUCGGGGCAAAAAUGUCCUUGAGAAGCCACCGUAGGUGUUGCAUAGGAGCCAGGUUUGAUUCAGUGUUUGAGGUUUUGAAAGCCUGAAGCAGCAGAAAAUAUUCACAACUCAGUUGCUCGUGCAUUUCCCAAAAUAUCAAACCAUAAGUGUCACAUCCAUAUGAUAACAUUACAAUAAAUACUAAUGUAAGAAAGUAGGAAAAAACAUUGCUCAUCUGUUUACCAGGGCUGACCUCUGACCUCAUGAAUUAUGGUGAGUGUGCUGCACUGUAUUGUCACAGACAUCGCUUUUUUCCCUUACUGCUGAAAAUAUGACAAUGGAGGGUUGAAUACGUGUCACGCUGCCACAGACAUACUUCUCAUGUAGCAUCUAUGCUAACAAAAUGUGACAGCUAAGUGCUGCCUUGAACAUUAAAUCCACUCUGAAUCUGUAAAACUGUCUUCAGGAAAGAAUCGCUGUCUUGGAUUUCACCUUGACUUCCACCUCAGUUAUUUAUGAUAUCAUGUGAUGUUAAAGGAAGCUUCAUAGAAGAUCAGCAGACAGAUUCUCUGCCACGGCUGAACAACAGUUGCUUCUGAUCUCACUGCCUGACAGACAGCUUGUUAUAGUACAAUACCUCAUGUACAAUACCACAGUACAUGCCUGCAGAUCAUCUCCCCCCUUCCCACACUCAUUUUCCCGUCCUCACUCUUCCAUUCACCAGUCGCAGCUCCUCUUUUCUGUAGCUCCUUGGAGCUGGAAUGAAUCGCCUGCCACGGUAA